rnacentral:lncRNA from 1 species
CCUCGGAUUCUGAUCUUCUCAUGACAUCCUCGAAGUAGUUGGUGUAUCAUAAUCUCUUCAAGCUCAUAACUUAAAUUGUCGAUGAAGCUCUCGAAACAAACAGUAAGAAGGAGAUAGCAAAACUUGGGGGUGCCACCGGAACCUCACAAACCGCAUAAAUGAUCGGGAAAACGGACCGCCAAGAGCCAAGGGACAACAC